rnacentral:snoRNA from 18 species
AACCAAUAAAAAUCGUGCGGAUUUUUGCAUCCAGGACUCUAAAACCGUGUUGCUAGGGCCGCGCGCUACGCGGCCACAGCGUCAAGUCCAUCGGAGAGAUCAGUUGGUUCAUCUCAACGCCCUUUCUUCCUGCCGGGCGCUCACUGGCAGGGGGAGGGCUGGUAGAACAGACAUUC